CGAGACUACCCCCUAAAUUUAAGCAUUAAA
rnacentral:rRNA from 1 species